UAAAUAGCCCGUAUUGCUUUGGCAGUACGCCGGCUUCUUAGAGGGACUAUCGGCUCAAGCCGAUGGAAGUUUGAGGCAAUAACAGGUCUGUGAUGCCCUUAGAUGUUCUGGGCCGCACGCGCGUUACACUGACGGAGCCAGCGAGUACUCCCUUGGCCGGAAGGCCCG
rnacentral:rRNA from 1 species